UGUGUGUUUAUGUGGUGUUGAGAUAAGCCAAAGAUAGAUAAGGAUGUAUGAGCUGUCUUUGCCUUCACUGGGGAGCCUACUACGUGCUACAGUGUCUGCAGUGCUGCAAGAUUCACUGUGGUACUACAAUAGUUGAGCCUCAUCUAUGAUGUGCUGUGUUCAAGGCACCUGUAGACCAGGUGCAUCUCCCAGGUUAUGCCAUUACAACCAUAGCCAGAUUGACAUUAUUUGUGUGACAUUGUCAGAGGAUGUAUAUGUUUCUUUAAAAAUAGGAGGGGAAAGAAACAUUUUUAUAUUGAUGAUCUGA
rnacentral:lncRNA from 1 species